AGUUCCCCACACCAAAAACCUUAGUGCCUGAACCAAAACCCUUAGCGUCUACACCAAAACUCUUAGUUCCUAAACCAAAACCCUUCUCAAUCUCUUGUCAGUCGCAUAUGUACUAUUCACCUCCAUCGCAUCUUUGCUUUGUCGUUGUUUCCUUGCCUCUCGUCUGAACCUAAAUACCCGUCUCAGUUGCAUUUGUCUUGCACAUCGUCGUUUUAUUCUCUGACUUCUUUGUGUCCGAAAUUUCCCGCCGUCUUGUGCUCUGACAACUCGUGUUUGACUUAACCCUCACUAGAAGGUCGCGCACAUAGUGCUUCAUAUAGAAGAUUAUUGGGUCCAAUAAAGCGUCUUGAAUUUUUAUAUCCCAAUUCAAAUCCAAGAGGGGAUUAUUCUGAAAAUGAAUAAGGAAGCAAGUUUAAAACAAAAGAUGAAAGCUCAAGACCAAGGUGAGAGAAAUACUUCCAAGUUUGAGCUACUUCAAGCAAGAUCAAGCAAUGAAUUACUAAGGAGAUUCAAAAUCAAGCGUGAAAAGAUAAUGAGAGGCACUGGAGUAACUAAUGAAGAUAUGGUUGGAACCAAAGAACCCAUUGGCAAGCAAAACAAUCCAUCAACUAAUAAGAUUAGUUUCAAGGCUACAGUGUUAGACAAGCAAACUCAAGGAGUCAAGCAUCCUUCGAUUAAGAUUGCACCUCAAGCACAAUUUAAGUUAUCAAAUUUUGCAGCAAUUGAUCAAAUAAAUAUAUCGAAAGAAAAUGACACCAAUUAGAAAUGCAUAUAUCGAAAGAAAAUGACACCAAUUGAUCAAAUAAAUAUAUCGAAAGAAGUUCAAUCACCAAUUAGAAAUGCAUCGAAAGAAAAUGACAUUUCAAGAACAAAACAAAAGGCCAAAAAAAUGGUGCAUGUUGAAGAUGACGAGGAAAUGGCAAGUCAACAAAGUGCAACAAAGAAAACCAAAAGAAUGCCAUUGUGCAAAUCAAUGUUAAUUGAAGAUUUUCUUAAGGAAAAUAAUGAACUUGAUGAUGAAGAAGAGCUGGGAAAUGAUACAUGAAGUGAAGAGGAAGAAUAUGUCAUGGAAGAAGAGAAUGAAGAUCAAGUUGAAGAUGACUAAAGUAAUGGGACAACUAAGAAAAAAACCAGGACACCAACUCAGUGAUUGAAUAUACAUGGAAGAAAGUUUCGUAUAGAAGUCACCUUAGACAAUGACGGAGAAGUGAUAGGACCUGAUGACAAAGUUGUAACUGACUUAGGGUAUUUCCUUGGCACUAUCGCAAGGAAUUCAGCCUUUUGUCCCUUGAUUUAUACAAACUUUAAGAAAGUGUACAAAAAUCAUGAGGAACGUAUAUGGCCUUAUAUUCAUGUAUAAGAGCUUAAUUUUCAUAUUUUAUUUGAUCAUCAAUUAGUUAUCACAUGUUGAUCACAACAAUGUUUUUCAGAGUAAAUUUAUCAUUUCUGAGAAAGGGAAGAAAACUGUUUUUUCUCGAAUAAAUGAUGCAUGGAGACGUUACAAAUGUUAUAUCAAGAGGACACAUUUUUUGAAAUACUCAACCUUGAAGGAAAGGUUAAAAAACAGGUCUGAAAGCAUACCAGAACCUCAUUUCAAGAAAUUGUUGAAAUAUUGGAGUAAGAGUAUCAUCCAAAACAUUAGAAUUAAAAUAUUGUCAAUAAGGCUAAACAGAAGUUUAUGCAUCGAAUGGGGCCAACAAAUUUUGCUAGAGUUCGUGCAAAAGAACGUGCAAAGAAGGAAAAUAGGGAGGAAGUCACCCAAGCUGAAAUGUUUGUCAUAACUCGUCAAUGAAGAAAAGGAAAAAUUGACGAAGAAACAGAAAAUGCCAUUGCAAAACUUCAAGAUUCAAUUCAAAACUCUAGUGAGCCUCAUGACCAAGCCUUUCAAACAUUGUUUGGCAAAGAAAAGUUGGGUAGAGUUCGUUGUUAUGGAAGAACAGCUACACCAACAAUGUUAAAAAAAAUGAAGAGAUUGCUAACAUUAAGAAACAUUAUGAAUGUGAAAUUAGUAGCAUGAAGGAAAUGAUGGAAGAAUAUGAGUCAUUUACAAAGAAAAGGAUGGAAGCAUAUGAGGAAUUUCUAAAAUGUGUGUUGAAGCAGCAAAAUUCAAGUUUAAGUGAAACUGUUGUUGAUAACAUGAUGUGACAUGCUUUAGGUAUUGCAAAUAGUGCGACACUCCAUUCUUCUACAUCAACUCAUGUUCCUGAAAAGGUUGGAAUUGAAGAUCAUCACCAAGAUACAUGAAGCUAGUGGAAUGUAUUGAAAACGUUUUUUGGCAAUGCAAAUUUUGGUUGUUGCAUUAGGAAUAAAAAACUUGUUGGUUUUUUUUUUUUAUCUAAUCAUGUAUUGGUUUUUUUUGGAUAUCCAAUAAUAUUUGUGUUACAUUAUUUUGAUGAGACAAUUGUUUUUGUUCGUAAUA